rnacentral:lncRNA from 1 species
UACACACGCAUAUUUCCCAUCGAAUUUUUCUUUCUCCCUCUCUAAAUCCAACACCACUUCUCUCACUUUCUUUCCCCUCUCUCUCAUCUCUCUCUGCCAAGACUAAGACAUCACCAUCAAUGGUUGCUUCACCGUUGGUCUCCGAUGAACCACCAUGAUGCCACCACUCCUUUCCCAUCUCCAGCCAUACCACAACGCUGCCAGCCCCCUACUCUCCUUCCUCUUUCACUCUUCUUUAUUUUUAAUGUAUCAACUGGAUGUGGUCUGAUUUGGCUGGAUUACUGUUUCUUCGGCAUUGCUCCGUCGAAGGUCGUGGAAGCAACAUUUUUCCCACUGGUUUAUUGUGUUGUCCCUAUUGAAUGGGAUUUCUUAUUUUUAUGAUGUUGUAUUAUUUUAUAGAUUUGUUAAAAAAUUAAGUUCACUCCGAUCACCGCUUUAUUUUGUUGUAGUACAUUAAAUAUGAUUUUUUGAUUUUUAUUUUAACAGAUUUGAUCGGAGUGUCUUGUUCUCUGGUGAUGCUCCAUUAAAAACUGACGAAGCUCCACUGUUUUUACUAUUUUUUCGUUGAUUACAUUUACAAUUCUUUUCUUUUGCUUGCUGCCUGUAAAAUUUAUAUUGUUAUGAUUUUGCUCUAUUUUUUACUAUCUUUGUUAUUUUAUGAUUAAUUUCUAGUCAAAAAUUAAUUUGAAA